rnacentral:misc_RNA from 1 species
UAAUAAGUGUUUUAUGGCACUUUUUAAAUCCAUAUCCACCUUGUGUGCAAUGUCAGUCGAUCUUCUUCAUGGAGAUCGACCAAACAUCAACCUUUAUCUUUUAACUCUUUGUCUGAAAAAUAUUAUGAAUUAACUUAAUUCAAAAUA